AAAGGUCCAUGGGCUUCCUGCCUAUCAAAAAAUACAGCUUUCUGACCAAGGCUUAUUAUGCGAUCUUCCCGGGAGACGUCAUUAGUAGCGUGAAUGGCUCUUGCCUUGCCGGAAGUGAAGGUGAGGCAGUGACAAGGUCAUGUCCAGAAAGAAAACAGUGAAAUGGAGAAAGUACGCACUGUCUUCUCUACUUUACAAAGGAGAAACAGGCUAUGCUCAAUCGAGUAAUUUGCCUAAAGUAUCCAGUGCACCCUCCAUUCAACAGCCUCCCACCAUUCUGCCUCUGAAAUGUCUGCUGCACAAAAUAAUUGGAGAUUCACAUUUUGUCAAAAUCCUCAAGGUCUAGAAAGUUCUAGAUCAACAAUAAAGUGGUAGAUGAGGAGACUUAAUCCUUUCCUAUGGCCUGUCCCCUCCACAGUCUGCAGGACCUGGAGACAGAAGAGCGGAGGGAGAAGCAGAGCCCGACACACAGACCCCGUGGGGACGCCUGGGUUCUGGUUCACACUGGGCUGUUUGGGAGCUGAGCCAAAAAUCCGAGCCAAAAUCUCUGUUUUGUUUUGUAGUGCAUGGUGGGGAAAUGAAAAUUUUGGUUCCAUCUGAGGUUUGCAAAUCAGCAUGCAUUGUUUUGGGGCAUUCAGUUUCAUUGAAACCUCGGGAACACAGCAGCUGCCAACCCCACAGCCCCAGGGAGAGCUGUGUCUCGAGGUGGAAUCAUCUUUUUUGGCAGAGGUGAA
rnacentral:lncRNA from 10 species